UCUCUUUUGGGUUCUUCAUUUCUGGGUUUGUUUUUUGGGGAAUUCACAAAUGGGUAAGUAAUUUAUAGUUCUUUUUUAUUGUUAGGUUGGCGAGGUCUAAUAUCGUUGUUUUUGGUUAUAAUUUUUGUUGUUUUGUAAUCAAAUUUGUAGCUUUGGUUGAUGGGUAUAUUUUAUUAAAUGCAUUUGUAAUUGCAUCUAGGUGUUAAGCCUUAAUGCUUGAUGUAAUGUCUUUGACGGUGAUGAUACUUAAUUUGCUGUCAAGCUCGCAUUUUUUGGUUGAUUGAGUGUAAUUUGAGUAAGAAUUUGGCAUUUUUUAAGUAAGUUUGAAAUUAGGUCUCAAAAAAUGCAGAUUUUUUAGAUUAUUAUGCUUUUCUUUCACAUAUGCUUAAGUUGGGAUUAAUCUUAGUCCGUUGGUUGUUUUGAUUCUGUAAUUUUGUAGUGAUUAUUCAUUUCAAUGACAUUUUUGGGAUUCAUUUUCUUUUCCACAGCAUUACCCAGACAUUCUCAAAAGCAUUCGAAUCGUGUUGUUUUAUCAAUGUCAACGGACAUUUUAUUUACAAUUUCAUUUCAUGAUAAAAUUUGAAGCCAUCAAUGUCACUAGUUUUAUCUCUCCUUUGCCUAUAAGAAGACAAACUGAAUAAAUUACUUCUAGAUAUAGUUGUGCUUGGGGAUUGCUGUGAUUUUUAUACGAAGGCAAAAGCUUCUGUUAUUGCAUUGAUACAUUUGAUUGGUUUGCAUUAAAUAUUCCUCUUCUGCUCUUAAUUGUUUUGAAGCUGUUUUCUGACCACUUUAUUCAUUAGCAUUCUGUCAUGUUUAUGACACAGGUAACAAUCAUUUUCCUGAAUACAAACUUAUCUGCAGUGAUGAAUCUUGGUAAUGGUAUUUGUUGUCACGAAAGUCUUAUGAUGUGGUUUCUCAUUGAGGUGAUGGUUGUAACCAAAGGGCACGCACUCCUUUUUAAUAUAAGAAAACUAACUGUUUCUCACAUUUUUCAUAGAUGCUUUUUAGUUGUCUUGGUUGAUGAACUGGUUUGUGUGUUCUAUUCUGUUCACCUCCAAUUAGUUUUCCUCCAGCUGGCAUGUUUUACUUACAGAAGAAUUUCUAAUGCAGGAUCUUGUUAAGCUUGGUUAUCAAAGAUUUCUCUAUUGUUGAUGAAUUUUGAUGGGCGUUUGUGAAUGGCUUUUGGGGCUGGUUUGGGUUUAUGAUGCAGAUGGGGAUGAUGAUGGUGCUGUUGCAGUUUGCUAAUUAGUGGAAUUCUCUUCUUGACCUGUUCUUUGCUAAAUUGGAAGACCAAUUAUAACAUGGACUAGAAAAAAUCAACUGUCCAAGUGCUAGAAUUUAUUGGGUUUCACUAACUUCUUGUAAGGACUUCAUUUAUGGCUCUUGAAAUUUUGUGUUAAGGCAUAUAUACUGUUAAGCAGUAUCUGGCAGGAAGAUAUAUAAGCAAGAAAUUUGUGAACUUAAGAGGAAUAGUUUACAUCAUUUAUCUAUUACAUAGACUAUGGAAACGCUAGUUUCAGCUCAAGGACAAAAGCACAAUAUGCAAGCGCAAGCUAGGAAAUUUUCACCUGGUGGUUUCCACAAAGAUCUGUGGGUUAUUGUGCGAGAAGGGUCCUUGGCUGAUGUAGAUUCUGCUUUGGCACUACUUAAGAAGAAUGGAGGUAACAUUAAUUCAAGGAACACGUUUGGCCUGACUCCUCUCCAUAUUGCAACUUGGAGGAACCACAUUCCCAUCAUCAGGAGGCUUCUCAUUGCUGGUGCUGACCCUGAUGCUAGGGAUGGAGAAUCAGGGUGGACUAGCCUUCACAGGGCUUUGCAUUUUGGUCAUCUUGCAGUGGCAAGUAUCCUUCUUCAAUCUGGCGCUUCUAUUACACUUGAGGACUCUAAAUCCCGUACGCCUGUUGAUCUCCUUUCUGGGCCUGUAUUGCAGGCCAUUGGAGAUGGACAUGAUUCAGGUUCCUACAUCUGUGUUUUUACAUGAUCAAUGAGGAUCCUAUUGUUCUUGCAAAUUCUCAUUGUGAUUAGUAUUUAGGGAUAAUCAUGAAUUGUUAUUUGUCUUCAGUGGCUACUGAGGUGUUUAGCUGGGGAAGUGGUGCCAAUUAUCAAUUGGGAACUGGAAAUGCUCACUUACAAAGGCUACCUUGCAAAGUUGAUGCACUUCAUGGUUCUUUUAUUAAACUGAUCUCUGCUGCAAAGUUCCAUAGUGUAGCAGUUAGUGCACACGGGGAGGUCUAUACCUGGGGAUUUGGAAGGGGGGGCCGCCUUGGGCAUCCUGAUUUUGAUAUCCACAGUGGUCAAGCUGCAGUUAUUACUCCCCGUCAGGUAAUUUCUGGUUUAGGGUCCCGCCGGGUGAAGGCAAUUGCAGCUGCCAAACAUCACACUGUUCUUGCUACUGAGGGUGGGGAAGUCUUUACCUGGGGAUCUAAUAGAGAGGGUCAGCUUGGCUAUGCUGUGGACACUCAGCCCAUACCUCGUAGAGUGAGCUCGCUUAAGUCGAGGAUUGUUGCUGUUGCUGCAGCAAACAAACACACAGCUGUAGUUUCUGAUUCUGGCGAAGUCUUCACAUGGGGUUGUAACAGAGAGGGUCAACUUGGAUAUGGCACCUCUAACUCAGCAUCUAAUUACAAUCCAAGAGUGGUUGAGUACUUGAAGGGCAAGGUUUUUACAGGAGUUGCAGUGGCAAAAUAUCACACAAUUGUAUUAGGAGCUGAUGGAGAGGUAUACACAUGGGGUCAUCGUCUUGUUACACCAAGACGUGUUGUGAUUGCUAGAAAUUUGAAGAAAAGUGGCAGCAGCCCUUUGAAGUUCCAUCGCAUGGAACGGCUUCAUGUGGCUUCUAUAGCUGCAGGGAUGGUUCACAGCUUGGCUCUUACAGAUGAUGGUGCAUUAUUUUAUUGGGUGUCUGCAGAUCCUGAUCUUAGAUGCCAACAGCUAUAUUCAUUGUGUGCAAAAAAAGUAGUGAGCGUUUCUGUUGGGAAGUACUGGAGUGCUGUGGCCACAGCUACAGGUGAUGUUUAUAUGUGGGAUGGGAAAAAAGGUGAGGAUAAGCUGCCUGCUGUCACUCGGUUACAUGGUGUUAAAAGGGCUGUUUCAGUUUCAGUUGGUGAAACACAUCUAUUGAUUGUUGGUUCUCUAUAUCAUCCUAUCUAUCCUCCCAGUACGAUCAAUAGUCUUCAGAAGCCAAAGUUGCAAGUUGGGGAUGAAGUGGAAGAGCUUGAUGAAGAUUUUGUGUAUAAUGAUAUAGAGUCUAAUCACAUGUCAUCUGCUGUAGAAAAGGAUGAUUGUGCACAAAGGCCUAUACCAAGCUUAAAAUCUCUUUGUGAAAAAGUGGCCGCAGAAAGUCUAGUUGAGCCACGAAAUGCUAUACAGAUGCUUGAAAUUGCUGAUUCACUUGAAGCUGAAGAUCUGAGGAAGCAUUGUCAGGACAUUGUUAUUCACAACCUUGAUUAUAUUCUGACAGUUUCAUCUCAUGCUUUUGCAAGUGCUUCGCCAGAAAUUCUAGCUAAUCUUGAAAAUCUGUUAGACCUAAGGUCAUCUGAACCUUGGAGUUACCGCAGGCUUCCAACUCCAACAGCUACUUUUCCUUUAGUCAUCAACAGUGAAGAAGAGGAUAGUGAAUAUGAUGUUCCAAGGACUCGUGAUAACCACAACAACAAAUCCACCUUGAAGAUUGGAAAUGAAAGAUCGGAAUUCUUUCUUCAACCCAAAGAUGAUCCUAAUCGAGGCAUCUCCAAAAAAGUCCAUGCACUGCGAAAGAAGUUGCAGCAAAUUGAGAUGCUUGAAAUGAAACAAUCUACUGGGCAUCUUCUUGAUGACCAACAACUUGCAAAGCUUCAAACAAGGUUGGUUCUUGAAAGUUCACUUGCUGAGCUUGGUCUUCCGGUUGACAAAGUGCAGGCAAAAGCAUCAGUUGCAGUUUUAUCAGAUGUAAAAGGGAAUAAAAAGGCUGAGGUAUCAAGAAAACAAAGAAGGAAGAGUAAACAAAAGGUAGCACAAGUAGAAACAGUUCCUGGUUUUAGCGGAACUGAUGUAGAAUCAAACUUUGUGAAGGACCCAUUGGAUGUUGAGAUCUCUAAAGUUUCAAUUAAUAAGGAGGAAGAAAUUAUUUCUGAGGGAUGUGUGGGGAGCCAAGCCUCCAAAGAGCUUGCUUUCUGUGUUCAGAAGAAAGAGUGUUCUGACUUUCCAAAAAGUAAGAGUUCAUCUCCUUCAGUAUCCAAGAAGAAAAACCGAAAGGGUGGGCUUUCCAUGUUUUUGAGUGGUGCUCUCGAUGACAACCCCAAAGAUGCUGCUCCCCCUCCACAAGCACCUAGAAGUGAGGGUCCUGCAUGGGGUGGGGCUAAGGUUUCAAAAGGAUUUGCUUCACUUCGUGAAAUUCAGGAUGAACAGAGCAAAACCAAGGUGAACCAAUCAGCAAAAAAUACAGAUCAGGUAGAAGAUCAUUCUGAUGGUAAAAGUGAUGGGAAGGUUCUGUUGAGUUCCUUCUUGCCUUCAAAACCUAUACCUAUGGUAUCAUCACAUGCAUCACCGACAUCUGAUUCAGAAAGAAGCACACCUCCUUGGGCUUCUGCAACUCCUCCUCUUCUUUCUCGGACAUCUCUUAGAGACAUCCAAAUGCAGCAGCAAGGGAAACAGCAGCAGAAUAAUUCCCAUAGUCCAAAGACAAGAACAGCUGGAUUCUCAAUUGCAUCUGGCCAGGGAUCACCAUCAGAUUCUCCAGGGAUGAACCGCUGGUUCAAACCUGAGAUAAACACACCUGCAUCAAUUCGUUCAAUUCAGAUUGAAGAGAAGGCUAUGAAAGACUUGAAGCGGUUCUACAGCACCGUCAAGAUUGUGAAGAAUCCAACUUAAAUGAGGGACUGCAUGAUACUUGCAUCCAUGCAUAGCAAUGGGCUCUUCAUUGUUUAUUCUCCUUUCUUCCAUUUCAACUGUGAAUUUCAGUGUACAGAUGAUCUCCUUGUAACUUAGGUUUUUAAUUUUAAGGAGUAGUUGGCAUUUCUCAUCAGCCAUUAAUUUAUUUAUCUUAGAUUUAAAGAUGUACAUUGAGCCCCUUUCAUUUCAUCCCUCAAAGAUAAUAAAGUCUAAAAGUUCCUGAUUGAAGUAUAUAUAAUAACACAAUUCCUG
rnacentral:misc_RNA from 1 species